UCCUGAUCUCUUUUCUCAGGAAUCUCCAUUCCAUUAACUCCGGAUUAAGGCACAGCACAGAUGAGGAGAACAGGAGGCUCACAAUGGUAGGCAGCACGAAAACAGAGGCACAGUAAAGAAGCACAGUCAGCGUGCAAUGCGAGCAGAGGAUUUUGGCCCCCUCAAGGUGAUCCUGAUGGGAGGAACAGUCAGUCCUGAGUGUGACAGAAGCACGUGGCCAAGAGGGCCUGUGUGAAUUUGGUAGCAGAGAUAAGACGGAACCAAACCCCAGCGAGUAUCGCUCCCUGUGAUUGAUGAGCUGCUCUGCUUCAAGCUGGGGAACGUGCGCUGGGCUUGGAAAAAUACAGGGCCCUCUCAGCCACCUGAUAGCAAACAGCCACACAGAGACAGCUAAAGGAAGGCUGGUAAACAAGAAAAUGACUGUAAUCCCAUUACACAGCCACAGAAAGCUGGGUUCUGUCCCUCGAGGGGAGAGCUGAGCAGGGUCCAUUCAGAGCCACUGUGGCAGCAGCUCCAGAAAGCUGAGAUGGGGCAGUUAAACUGCAGGGGAUUUUGGAUGCCAGGAGCCUACCUGGGUAAGUGUGAGCAGAUAAGUGUGAGCAGGUAAGGUGGCAAAGCAGGACAGCUGUCAGUGAUUUGGCUGCACACUGCUGUCAGCUUCUGCACUGCUCCACCUGGCUUUAAUGCUGAUGCAAGCAUGGAGCAGAACGAUGCUUGUUUUAGCAUGAGUCCUCAGCGUUCAUCAGCGCACAACCAAGACACUGGCACGUCUUUGUGCCUCCACACUGGACCAGCAACUGGUGGGCACCAACCAGACCAACCAACACUUGACACAGAAAAUACCCUGUGUUUUCCUCAGUCUGAUGGCACAGGUUGAAAGCCACACCUCAGCAGCACCAACACGGAGGGAGAGCUGUCUCCCAGAGCCUGGUGUCCCAGGGCAAUCAGCUGCAUCUGAUCCAAGAGUUUCCAGCAGCUGGGAUAUCCAUGAGGGCCUUUUCUGCAUGGGCAGUUUGGGAUAUAAUGAACAGCUGAGCUUGUGGGACUGCUCUUCCUACAGCAUGGAUAUCUGCAUCCACAGACAUUACUGGGACAUAAGGAAAAGACUGGAUAUGAAGGGACUUGAAGCAGUGGCAGAGGUUGCCCAGAGAGGUGGUGAUGCCCCAACCCUACAGAGAGCCAAGGGGAAAAACGUUCACCAGAAGAGGAAAAGAGGAAGGAGGAACGAAAAGCUGCAAAUCCCAUAGAGCUGCCUGCAUCUCCAGCAGCCCCAGUGGGAGCCCUGUAGGAACAGCCAGAAGUGUGAUGGGCACACAAGCCAAAAGGCUCAGCUGACAGCAGCCCACACAGCAGAGGUGACGAUGUGACACAAGGCAGGGAUCUUUCCAGCUGGAGGUAUUUUAAACACAUACAGAAUAAUGUCGGCAUCAUAGGAC
ensembl:lncRNA